rnacentral:misc_RNA from 1 species
GAUGAAGAACGCAGCGAAAUGCGAUAAGUAAUGUGAAUUGCAGAAUUCAGUGAAUCAUCGAAUCUUUGAACGCACCUUGCGCUCCUUGGUAUUCCGAGGAGCAUGCCUGUUUGAGUGUCAUUAAAUUCUCAACCUUAUUGGCUUUUGCUGAUAAUGGCUUGGACUUGGGGGUCUUUUUGCUGGCUUUCAUUAGUUUGCUCCCCUUAAAUGUAUUAGCCGGUGCCCCGCAGUGGAACCGUCUAUUGGUGUGAUAAUUAUCUACGCCGUGGACGUCUGCUAUAAUGGGUUUGCGCUGCUUCUAACCGUCUCUCGGGACAACACAAAUGACAAUUUGACCUCAAAUCAGGUAGGACUACCCGCUGAACUUAAGCAUAUCAAUAAGCGGAGGA